rnacentral:lncRNA from 1 species
CUCGUCUGCCACCUCGUAGCUCUAGAGGCGUUGGACCUCGGGCCCCACCUCCUAGUAGUGCAAAGAGAGCUAAUGGAUCAAGAGGAAGACGUCCACGACCGCCUCUACCUCCACCUGCAAGAGCUAGGCCCUCUAGGCCCUUGCCACCACCUGCAAGAUCCAGGCCCUUACCGCCACCUUCAAGAGCCAGGCCCUUGCCACUACCUGCUAGGUCUUAUGACAGAAGACCUCCAGGUACCACUAGGACUUGUUGUUUUCUCCAUGUUCAGUUAUCUUUUUUUUCUUCUUGAGCCUCAGUGUAUUUGAAAUUUUGAUUUUGCAGUUCCUCCGUAUCCAAAGGCUAGCCUGAAGAGGGACUAUGGUCGGCGUGAAGAUCUUCUUCCUCCAAGAAGCAGACCAGCUGUGAGCUAUAGUAGCUCCAGGCUUUCUCCUGAGAGGCAUUUGUCUUACAGAGAUGAUUAUGCACCUCGUGGGUCUGUUGGUUAUUCAGAUAUUCCUAGAGAUUCUUCUCGCUUAGAAAUGAGGAGGCCGUACGGGGAUGACCUUUACAGUCCGAGGUUUGAAAGACCUCCUCCAAGUUACAGUGAAGGGAGAUCUCGUGCUUAUGAUGAACCUCUUCCUGGAUCAAAACGACCAUAUGCUGCAUUGGUCUGAUUUAUUGCUUCCUCUGACCAUUUUGUUCUAUAAUCAAACUAUAUGAUUGUUUUCUUAACAAGUGUUUAUAUCAUUCAGGAUGACAUUCCUCCCCGUUAUGCCGACGUCGAUGCUCGUCAUUCAAGAGCUCGUCUGGACUAUGAUCUUGGCCCAUCUCAAUAUGGGGAAUCGUUUGGGGACCGGUAUGUUCUCGUUCUAUGGAUAUAUCUCUGUCUGCAACUUCUUUGUGAAAUAUGUAUGUCUUAGUUUCUUACUUGCAUGUUUAUUUUAGGAUUCCUAGAUCUAGUUUAGGAUAUGGAAGCAGCCGAAAUGCAAUGACAAGUCAUGACUCGCGUGGUCCAUAUAGCAGCAGUCGUCAGGGAAUGGAUUAUGGAGGAGGUUUGUUUGAUAACUCUCUGUCUGUUGUGGCUUAACAUACAGCAAUACUGCGUCGAGAUGCAAACACUUACAUGGCUAUGUUGCUUUACUUCAGGUUCGUAUAGUAGCAGCGAUGUAGGAGGAAUGUACUCAUCAAGCUAUGGUAGUGAACCACCCAGAAGAGAUGUAAGUUCAAGCUAUGGUAGUGACAUACCCCCCAGAAGAGAUGUAAGUGGCUUCAGAAACAUUCUCGUUUUCUCCUUUUUUGUUGGAAAGUUGAGUUGAGAGUAACUUUUUAUUGUUGGAAUUACAGGGAGGAGGUAGCUCGUAUUCUUCAGUAUACUCAAGUCGUGGACUGGGUGGUACUAGUUACUCAGGUGGUGGUGGUGGUCCAGGAUCAUACUACUGAAAGUGAGUUAGUGGUAAUCUUUUGGUUCCUUCUUCAUAACAAGUUUUAGGUUGUCUCUUGUGGUGCAUUGUUUUGUUACUUGGAAUGCCAUCUAAGCAAUGUGAUUAUGGAACAAAUGGAUUUACCAAGUGAUAAAUAGAUUUUUCUUUUAUGUCUCUGGAUGGUAGCUUAGAAUACUUUCUAACGACAUUAUUGAUUGUUAGUGAUUCUGUUAUAUCUUCUGGUCAUAGUACUUUAGUUUGAUUAAUAUUUUGGUGGUGCAGGUUAAGACUAUCUUCAUUGAUGGUCUGUCAACUUCAUGGAGCGAAGAGCAUGUUAGAGACCUGUUGAAAAGAUUUGGCAAACUUGAGAAAAUUGAGCUUGCACGCAAUAUGCCAUCAGCCAGGAGGAAAGAUUUUGGCUUUGUAACUUUUGAUACUCACGAGGCUGCUGUGACUUGUGCCAAAUCUAUCAACAACUCAGAGCUAGGCGAAGGAGAGGACAAGGUAUGGCUUAUUCUUAUUCACGCAAGUAUAUUCUUGAUUUCUAAUUCCUCUCUUUGUUCCAGGCAAAAGUGAGGGCACGCUUAUCCAGACCACUUCAUGGAGCAGGCAAAGGCAGACAGCCCAGUCGCUCAGACCACCGGUCUAGUAGGCAUGGGAGUAGACGAUCUGGAAGGAGUUCACUGGCUCGUCUGCCACCUCGUAGCUCUAGAGGCGUUGGACCUCGGGCCCCACCUCCUAGUAGUGCAAAGAGAGCUAAUGGAUCAAGAGGAAGACGUCCACGACCGCCUCUACCUCCACCUGCAAGAGCUAGGCCCUCUAGGCCCUUGCCACCACCUGCAAGAUCCAGGCCCUUACCGCCACCU